ACUCCUACGGGAGGUAGCAGUGGGGAAUCUUGCCAAUGGGCGAAAGCCUGAUGCAGCGACGCCGCGUGGGGGAUGAAGGCCUUAGGGUCGUAAACCCCUUUCAGUAGGGACGAAAAUGACGGUACCUACAGAAGAAGCCCCGGCCAACUACGUGCCAGCAGCCGCGGUAAGACGUAGGGGGCGAGCGUUGUCCGGAUUUAUUGGGCGUAAAGGGCUCGUAGGUGGUUGCGUAAGUCGGAUGUGAAAACUCUAGGCUCAACUUGGAGACGCCAUCCGAUACUGCGCUGACUUGAGUCCGGUAGAGGAGUGUGGAAUUUCUAGUGUAGCGGUGAAAUGCGCAGAUAUUAGAAGGAACACCUAUUGCGAAGGCAGCACUCUGGGCCGGCACUGACACUGAGGAGCGAAAGCGUGGGUAGCAAACAGGAUUAGAUACCCUGGUAGUC
rnacentral:rRNA from 1 species